rnacentral:lncRNA from 1 species
UCCGCCAUCGCCGAGAAGGGCCGCCUGAAGAAGAUCUCCGGCGUCAAGGCCAAGGAGAUGCUCAUCUGGGUCAACCUCCACGAGAUCUGCGUCGACGACCCGCCCACCGGCAAGCUCCACUGCAAGGCCAUCGGCGGCCUCUCCCGCAGCUUCCCCGUGGAGGCAUUCGAGGCCACUGACGCCCUGGCCGUGCCCGUCACCGGACGUCUCAAGAAGAAGACAGAGAAAGAGAGCACCGACAAGAAAGACGAGAAGGAGGAGGAUUCAGCAGAGAAGCCGAAGGAGGAGGCAGCAGAGAAGCCCAAGGGGGCCGCCGUCGCCCCCGCCCCCGCCGCCGUCGAUGAGAUCGGUCAGAAAAUGAAGGAGAUGAACACGGAGGCACCCGUGCAGGCGGAAGCGGUGGCAGCCAAGAACUGAUCGGUGGCGGCGACGGCGACGGCGGCACGUCAUGAUCGGUUACCUAGUCAUAAAUUUGUUUCAGAAUAACGCAUUGCAUUAGCAUGUCAUCAACCAUCCACACAUAUGUAUCACCUGAUCGAUCGAUGAGAGUUCAGUUCGACAACGAUGUAAUUUACUCCUACCUUUUUUUUCUGGUUUUAAUGUGAUGAAAUUUAAUGGAUGCCAUUGCCAUGAGCUGGCGCUACCCGAUCGAUCGAUCGUACUACUACUGCUACG